rnacentral:rRNA from 1 species
UACGUAGGUGACUAGCGUUGUCCGGAUUUACUGGGCGUAAAGAGCGCGCAGGCGGUCGUUCAAGUCGAGUGUGAAAGCCCCCGGCUCAACUGGGGAGGGUCAUUCGAUACUGAUCGACUCGAAGGCAGGAGAGGGAAGCGGAAUUCCCGGUGUAGUGGUGAAAUGCGUAGAUAUCGAGAGGAACACCAGUGGCGAAGGCGAGUCCCUGGACAACACCUGACACUGAGGCACGAAAGCUAGGGGAGCAAACAGG